rnacentral:rRNA from 1 species
AUACGUAGGGUGCGAGCGUUGUCCGGAAUUACUGGGCGUAAAGAGCUCGUAGGUGGUUUGUCGCGUCGUCUGUGAAAUUCCGGGGCUUAACUCCGGGCGUGCAGGCGAUACGGGCAUAACUUGAGUACUGUAGGGGAGACUGGAAUUCCUGGUGUAGCGGUGAAAGGCGCAGAUAUCAGGAGGAACACCGGUGGCGAAGGCGGGUCUCUGGGCAGUAACUGACGCUGAGGAGCGAAAGCAUGGGUAGCGAACAGGAUUAGAUACCCUGGUAGUCCAUGCCGUAAACGGUGGGCGCUAGGUGUAGGGGUCUUCCACGACUUCUGUGCCGUAGCUAACGCAUUAAGCGCCCCGCCUGGGGAGUACGGCCGCAAGGCUAAAACUCAAAGGAAUUGACGGGG